rnacentral:rRNA from 1 species
UACGUAGGGGGCAAGCGUUGUCCGGAAUUACUGGGCGUAAAGCGCGUGUAGGCGGCAGGCCAAGUCUGCGGUGAAAGCGCCCGGCUCAACUGGGCGAGGUCCGUGGAAACUGGUCAGCUGGAGGACGGUAGAGGCGAGUGGAAUUCCCGGUGUAGUGGUGAAAUGCGUAGAGAUCGGGAGGAACACCUGUGGCGAAGGCGGCUCGCUGGGCCGGUCCUGACGCUGAGACGCGAAGGCGUGGGGAGCGAACGGG